UAUUGCACAAUGGGCGAAAGCCUGAUGCAGCAACGCCGCGUGAGGGAUGACGGCCUUCGGGUUGUAAACCUCUUUUUGUAGGGAAGAANNGCAAGUGACAGUACCUGCAGAAAAAGCACCGGCUAACUACGUAUCAGCAGCCGCGGUAAUACGUAGGGUGCAAGCGUUGUCCGGAAUUAUUGGGCGUAAAGAGCGCGUAGGAGGUUUGUCGCGUCUGCUGUGAAAUCCCGAGGCUCAACCUCGGGCUUGCAGUGGGUACGGGCAGACUAGAGUGCGGUAGGGGAGAUUGGAAUUCCUGGUGUAGCGGUGGAAUGCGCAGAUAUCAGGAGGAACACCGAUGGCGAAGGCAGAUCUCUGGGCCGUAACUGACGCUGAGGAGCGAAAGCGUGGGGAGCGAACAG
rnacentral:rRNA from 1 species